rnacentral:lncRNA from 10 species
CGGAUCUCUGCCGCUAAUCUCCUGGGGAGGCUGUGCUCUCAGCUUAAGCUCUCAGAAAAAAUAAGAGACAAGGUCUGACUCUGUGCAGUGGAGUGCAGUGGCUCAAUCAUAGCUCACUCCAGCCUCAGACUCCUGGGCCGAAGUGAUCCUCCCACCUCAAGCUCCUGAAUAGCUGGGACUACAGCUGGGCAUGGUGGCAUGUGCCUGUGGUUCCAGUUACUUGGGAAGCUGAAGUGGGAGGAUCGCUUGAGCCCAGGAGGUCAAGGCUACAGUGAGCUGUGAUGGUGUCAUUGCAUUCCAGCACUCCAGCCCGGGCAUCAGAGUUAGACCUUGUCUUAAAAAAUAAAUAAAUGAAUAAAUAUAAAUAAAAAAUAAAAAGCUUUUACAG